GUUUGGGUCACGCCCCACUGUAGGAUACUCACCGCUGUCCUUAACUGGGUGGCGGUCAAAGGGGGUGUGCAUGGGGGCAACUCCGUGCAUAUCUCUGGGGUUCCUACUCUUUUACUUUGAGCAAAUUAGAGUGUUCAAAGCAGGCAAUCGAGCCUUGAAUACUUCAGCAUGGGAUAAUGGAACAGGACUGGGGUCCUGAUUUCGUUGGUUUCUGGGAUCUCAGUAAUGAUUAAUAGGGAUAGUUGGGGGCAUUAGUAUUUAAUUGUCAGAGGUGAAAUUCUUGGAUUUAUGAAAGACUAACUUCUGCGAAAGCAUUUGCCAAGGAUGUUUUCAUUAAUCAAGAACGAAAGUUAGGGGAUCGAAGACGAUCAGAUACCGUCGUAGUCUUAACCAUAAACGAUGCCGACCAGCGAUUGGGAGACGUUACAUGGAUGACUCCCCCAGCAGCUUGCGAGAAAUCACAAGUCUUUGGGUUCCGGGGGGAGUAUGGUCGCAAGGCUGAAACUUAAAGGAAUUGACGGAAGGGCACCACCAGGAGUGGAGCCUGCGGCUUAAUUUGACCCAACACGGGGAAACUUACCAGGUCCAGACAUAGUAAGGAUUGACAGAUUUGAGAGCUCUUUCUUGAUUCUAUGGGUGGUGGUGCAUGGCCGUUCUUAGUUGGUGGAGUGAUUUGUCUGGUUAAUUCCGUUAACGAACGAGACCUUAACCUGCUAAAUAUGUCACUGGUAGACUUCUGCCAAAACAGGUGGGUGUCUAGGGGAAAGUUUCGAUGGACUCCGACGCAUUCAUCUGUGGAUGACUACCAGGAUGUACUUCUUAGAGGGACUAUCUGUAUCAAAGCAGAUGGAAGUUUGAGGCAAUAACAGGUCUGUGAUGCCCUUAGAUGUUCUGGGCUGCACGCGCGCUACACUGACAAGUUCAACGAGUUUAACACCUUGCUCGAUAGGGCUGGGUAAUCUUUGAAAAACUUGUCGUGAUGGGGAUAGAUCAUUGUAAUUAUUGGUCUUCAACGAGGAAUUCCUAGUAAGCGUGAGUCAUCAGCUCGCGUUGAUUACGUCCCUGCCCUUUGUACACACCGCCCGUCGCUCCUACCGAUUGAAUGAUCCGGUGAAAUGUUGGGAGCUGGGGUCUUUUGGCGGCGGGGCAACUCGUCGUCAGGGAUUCUGCAAACUUCAUUAAACCUUAUCAUUUAGA
rnacentral:rRNA from 1 species